ACACACACACACACACACACACACACACACACACACACACACACACACACACUAUCUUUUCUUUUCUUCAGGAAAUCGCACUAUUUGCGGAAGCAGUUUAUCGCAUUCUAGAAAGGCCUAUUUAUAUUGUCUACAGACCGAUAUUGGAUUCUAUGGCAGUACCUUACAGCCGGAUAAAUAAGUUAAAAUUAAUUUUGGUUUAAGAAACACUGAUUGGCGAAAAUGUAUCGCCAAACAGAUUGUUACGCGACAAAAUAGAAUGAUAGGCGCAUGCGUAGUUGUCUGUCAGUGUCGACGUUGUUCCGUACGAAUGGGUUUCUUCGGGGUACUUGCUGAACUUUAGAAAGCCACCAGUCAGCUGUUUUGUAUGACGGUAUGUGUUUUUAAAUCCAGACAUUUUACGAUGCUCUCAACUGUUUGUGAUGUUUCUUACGCACGUUUUUGUUGCCACGCAAACAAACAUACCUACACGAUUUGUCCAAAAAUACGCUUCAUUGCGGUUCUCUGAAAACAUUAUCAAAAUCGUCUUUGUGUUAAUUGUAAUAUUAUGACAAAAGAGUAUGCAUUCGAACACCAAUCGCCAUGCAUCAAAUGCUUGGAAAAUAGGAAGUUUUUUUUUUAAAUAUUUUAAUCUAUCUGUAAAAUUGAUUUUGAAUGCAUAAUUCCGAUCUCCGCUCAAGCAAAAUUCCUAUUAAAGCUGGGUUGUUUUAUUCCCAUUCAUUUGUAACUUUUUUUUAACUUUUAACACGUUUGCUCCAUACUCCUUUUAGAAAUGAAAAAUCCAACACUUUCCUCUCUUACGAUGAUGACUACCGGAGUGGCUACGCUAGGGUCGUCAGUACAAACACCAUUAAGUUUCGUUACCGUACCUUCUAUUCCGAAACCAUUCUCAUGCUAUGUGUUGCGACACAGGCGAAUCCGUCUCCAUUCGGGUUUCGCUCGGCAUGUGAUGCCUGGCUAUAGCUAUACUCGCUGCUCGUGGGUGGCUGAGGAUUCCCGAACACUGUCAGCAUUUCAUCGCCUCGUGCUUCCGGAAAUAAGACAAUCGAAUUCCGCAGUCUGCAAAGUUCUGACCCGGAUUGUGACAUUUGCGUUUGCGUUCAGGCUGAACAUUAUACAGGUUUUGCUUAGUUUGUAUGUUGUCGAGUAUAUAAAUUCAUAGCAUUUUUCAUCCUCAUCGGGAAUGAUUGUUCAAGGUACCUUUUAAGUGACACAGUCUCAUUCAACUGUACAAUAGCUGUAAACCAACUGCAAUUGAAUAUACAUUAUAGUGUAGUGCAGUGUAAUAUUGUGUUUAAUAAUGAAGAUCAGUGUUGUUAAUUUGUUAGCGCAAAGAAAAUUAUACCACAUGAUGCCACCAUUUCCCUGUUGCUCUAAGUAUACGGGCUCAAAUUAUGUCUUUCAAAAAUCAAUGAAAUUAAAUCAUGUUUCAAAACAGGACACUGACAGUGUGGCCAGUGCUAAUGUACAGCGAUGCUCGAAAGGCGAUGAGUUCUUCCGAGCGAUAAUUCAUUUACUAUCUGUUAAUGGUUGCCCACUGAUGGACAAAAAAAGUAAAACAGUUUUGCCAGCCGGUAGCUGUUGUUAGUGCUGUGGGAAUUUGUUCGGUCUUGAGAGGUGCUCAACAAAACACAAACGUCAAAUGCUGAGAGCUGUGUGAAGUUUUUAGCUAUUUUCUCUGGUUUUCCUACUUUUCCUCUCACUCACAUUCAGUCGAUAUUAUUGAGCUGCGGGGUAGCUGGCAGAUGUGUUGCAUUUCACGGGUCGCGUUGAGAAUGUGCGUAUGUUUGGUUGCUUGGCUUCGUAUUUUACUUUGCUUGCGCUUACCUGCUUCAGAGGAUAAUCCUCUGAAAACCAAAGUCCCCGCGACAUAACCGUGUGUUAACAAUUAUUUUAGUUUUUGUCCACUCGCUGAACAUUUUCCGUGUCGAAAUCGCUCUGUUCAUACUGCGUUUUAAAAUAAUAUUUCAGUGUAAGCUUCUAUCAGUGUCGUUCGAAAAUCUAAUUAUUUUCAUAAUCAAUGUGAAACACUUAAAGAAGCUCUCUGAAUUGCCCCUCUGAAGGGUGCAUAAUGGAUUUCAUCCCUCCCUCACAAGUUCAUGAGCGGUGGGAGUGCAUGGCAACCCGAGGUAUUUAGCGAAAUUUUUAUCAAAAAUCACCUCCCCAAAUUCAAAAU